rnacentral:rRNA from 1 species
AGAGUUUGAUCCUGGCUCAGAACGAACGCUGGCGGCGUGCCUAACACAUGCAAGUCGAACGGAAUGAGGGGGCUUGCUCCUUCAUUUAGUGGCGCACGGGUGAGUAACUGCGUAGUAUAAUCUAGCCUGUAUGAUCUGUGGAUAACACCUUCGUAA